rnacentral:tRNA from 2 species
UGGGGCGUGGCCAAGUGGUAAGGCAGCGGGUUUUGAUCCCGUUCAUCGGAGGUUCGAAUCCUUCCGUCCCAG